UAUUGACAUCUAAUAUUAUUUCUUUUUGGGUCAGUAAUUGUUCAUGUGCUUGCUUCUAAGAUGCUUUGAUUGGUAAUGGUAAGUGUUUUACGAACAUGAUUAUUUUCUGCCUUUCCUAAGUCUUAAUGACUAAAUCUUCCUUUCCUAUUCAAUUUGUUGUUUAAGAGAGCGGACUUACAUUGGAACAGGAGAUUAGAGGAUUUGGAACAGUUGACAAAUUUACAAGAUGAGCUCCUUGAUGCAGCUUCAUUGAGUUCACUAUAGAUCUUGCUGAUAGGUACGUCCCACCUGAUCUUGUUACGGACAAAGGGUUCUUCUUCUCCAGCCCAGUCAAACAUCAUCUUGAUGGAUCAUUUGCUGCCCGCCUGGUCCAAUCUGUAGACCACAAGAUGAACCCUAGAUAGCAAGCAAAACGUGAACCUCUCCUCUUUAAUCAAGACAAGGUAGGGCCAUGAUGGGAUACAAUUAUCCAACAAGAAACUUAUCUCUUGUAACUAAUGUUGUCAAAAUCGUUAUCAUAUUGCAAAUCGUAAUUGGGGUUGAA